GGCCGACUAGCUCAGUUGGUUAGAGCGUCGUGCUAAUAUGACACAUUAACGCGAAGGUCUUGGGUUCGAUCCCCACGUUGGCCA
rfam:Moniliophthora perniciosa FA553 Contig1271, whole genome shotgun sequence.